CUGCGGUCAGACGGAAAGACCCCAUGCACCUUUACUAUAGCUUUACGCUGGCAUUUGUGUCGGCAUGUGCAGGAUAGGUGGUAGGCUUUGAAGCAGGGACGCUAGUUUCUGUGGAGCCGCAAGAUGAGAUACCACCCUUAUCGUCAUAGAUGUCUAACCGCGGCAUAACAGUGUCCGGGACAGCGUAUGGUGGGUAGUUUGACUGGGG
rnacentral:rRNA from 1 species